CAGCAGCCGCGGGAAUACAGAGGGUGCGAGCGUUAAUCGGAUUUACUGGGCGUAAAGCGUGCGUAGGCGGCUUCUUAAGUCGGAUGUGAAAUCCCUGAGCUUAACUUAGGAAUUGCAUUCGAUACUGGGAAGCUAGAGUAUGGGAGAGGAUGGUAGAAUUCCAGGUGUAGCGGUGAAAUGCGUAGAGAUCUGGAGGAAUACCGAUGGCGAAGGCAGCCAUCUGGCCUAACACUGACGCUGAGGUACGAAAGCAUGGGGAGCAAACAGGAUUAGAUACCCCCGUAGUCCCUGUCUCUUAUAC
rnacentral:rRNA from 1 species